UACGUAGGGUGCAAGCGUUGUCCGGAAUUAUUGGGCGUAAAGAGCUCGUAGGCGGCUUGUCGCGUCGGCUGUGAAAACUCGGGGCUCAACUCCGAGCUUGCAGUCGAUACGGGCAGGCUAGAGUUCGGCAGGGGAGACUGGAAUUCCUGGUGUAGCGGUGAAAUGCGCAGAUAUCAGGAGGAACACCGGUGGCGAAGGCGGGUCUCUGGGCCGAUACUGACACUGAGGAGCGAAAGCGUGGGGAGCGAACAGG
rnacentral:rRNA from 1 species